ACAUGUUAUACCUUCAUAGGAUCAGUGUUGUCUUUACAAACUCCUGAAUGAAUUGCUGCAGCCGUCUCCAUGGUGACCUGAUGGUGAGAAAAAC
rnacentral:sRNA from 1 species